rnacentral:rRNA from 1 species
GAUGAACGCUGGCGGCGUGCUUAACACAUGCAAGUCGAACGAAGCACUCUAUUUGAUUUUCUUCGGAGAUGAAGAUUUUGUGACUGAGUGGCGGGCGGGUGAGUAACGCGUGGGUAACCUGCCUCAUACAGGGGGAUAACAGUUGGAAACGACUGCUAAUACCGCAUAAGCGCACGGUACCGCAUGGUAUCGUGUGAAAAACUCCGGUGGUAUGAGAUGGACCCGCGUCUGAUUAGCUAGUUGGUGGGGUAACAGCCUACCAAGGCGACGAUCAGUAGCCGACCUGAGAGGGUGACCGGCCACAUUGGGACUGAGACACGGCCCAAACUCCUACGGGAGGCAGCAGUGGGGAAUAUUGCACAAUGGGGGAAACCCUGAUGCAGCGACGCCGCGUGAGCGAAGAAGUAUUUCGGUAUGUAAAGCUCUAUCAGCAGGGAAGAAAAAAUGAC